GAAGGGUGGCUGAGUUGGUUGAAGGCACCUGACUCGAAAUCAGACGUAGGGGCAACUCUACCGCGGGUUCGAAUCCCGCCCCUUCC
rnacentral:tRNA from 1 species